CCUUUGUGAUUCACUCUGCCUAAGCAGGUCAGCACCCGCCCCUUGCAUCAUGGGCAGUUGCUUCAAUUUGCCCAGGCUGUGCCAUCUACCCAGACUCCCCUCCUCCUGAACUCUGAUUCUCCAGCUCACAUGGGCACACCUACUCUUCCCUGAUGGCCCUAGAUCUGUCCCCUAUCUCAGAUGGCCCAGAGUCUCCUCAAAGGCCACACAACUUAAACUUCCAUUAGACAAGCAUUCUGAGAGAAUUCCCCAGGAAGUGUCAAGUGAGACAAAGUUAGUCAAGACAGACGGGAGGAGGGUAGGAAGGCAAAACCAGAUGUCUGAGGCCACUCCUAGUGUGUUCUGGAAGGCCUGCUGAGGUCUCUGAGGGCCUAGGCAUCUUUCUCAGCUCCCUCCUGGGAGACUCCAGACUCUCCCUAACUCCUUCUGCCCUCCUAUGUCCAUUCUUUGAAUCCCGGCUCAGUUGUUACCAAUUCUGUGAAGCUCCCAGGAGUGACAUCCAUAACUGCUUCCCCGGGAUCCCACAGCUCUGACCUCAUGGUGACGUAUGGACUCUUCAGGAAAGGAGAGAUGUUGGGAGCAAGGUCAUGACCGGUUCACCUUUGCAUCUUGGCUGACAGCUGGCCGGAGAACGGAAGAGCCUUUGCUCGGGCUCAGAGGUUCCUCUCAUCCCACCUGCAGCUGGGGCUUCCCUCCCAGUCACAGGGGAAUAAAGUACCUCUGCUGUCCCCUCCACCUUGGUAUUGAUGGGGCUUUUAAUGGUGCUUUGACAAAAGGCAGCUCCCACAUUCGUCUUCCUUGGCUAAUUACAUUUCCCAAUUGCAACGCUUAUCUCUGGGCCGGUGUUAAAGACAUAAUCAGUUUCCAGAAUGGAUUCAAAGGAGGUGAGAAGUAAGAAAGUAAUUAAGCCAACUUCUGAUUGAAUCAAAUAAUUAAGCAGAUUAAGUCGACCUCCUGUGAUCAACAGCCCAAGCAGGAGCCUAGAGGUCGAUGCUGAUGGAGAGAUCAUUUCUGAUAGGCUUCGAGACAGGCAGUGCGGCCUCCCGGCUGAGAGAGUUGAAGAUAGAGCUGAGGAAAACAUCCGGACACAGAACCCACAGCACAUCCCAACUGCAGCAGCUCCAGAAACACAGAAGACGGCAGCUAGAGACAUAAUUCAGGACAGUGGACAACAGACCGAGGGGAUGUACACUAAGACUCGCCACUGUGACAUUUCAGAAACCUGAGAACACAAAGCAGGUCUUAUGAGCUUCUAGAGAAAAACACACCACUCGUAUCUACCUGAGCAAUUGGAGAGGCCACAGGUGUGUGCCGGGGGAUGACGACACCAGGAGACGACCAGAGCUGUCAUGCUGGAUGGCUGGAGGCCAGUAAUAAAUGAAGAUGCUGCAUGGUUUGGAUGUCAAAUGCUCCCUAAAGGCCCAGGUGUUUAAACACUUUACCCCGGGAUGGUGGUGCUGUUCUGAGAGGCUGUGGAAUCUUCAGAGGUAAAGUUUGGCUGGAGGAGGUGGGUCUCUAGGGGUAUGCCAUGAGAGGUAUAGCCUGGCCCAUGUCCUAUUCCGUCACGAUGUGAGGAGGUGAGUCCCCGCUGUCCCCGCUGUCCCAGUUGCUUCCACCGGGCACUCUGUCACAGCCACCGGAAGAACCGUUCACUAGUAUGGCUGUCCACCUCACACUACAUCAGAGUCUAGACAGGGCGAUUAGGCAGACAGGAGAAAUGAAAGCCGUGCUGGUGGUGGGAAAGGAGGAACUAUCUCUGUGCGUGGCACAGCUUGUAAAUAAAACACUUGAUCUAUUAAAACAUGGCAGAGCAAAGAGUUCAGCAAGGUGGCGGCAUUCAGUUGUGUUUUAUGCACCAGCAAUGGACAUUCCGAAAGUGAAAUUACAGAAGAAUUUUGCUUGGAAAAGGCAUAAAAAAGAAUAUAUACAUACAAAUUUAACAACAACCUGCAAGACUUAGACAUUAAACAGAAAACUAUUGAAAUCACUAUUAAUUUUUUUUUU